UGGGCCUUAAUACUGACAGUGAGUGUGGC
rnacentral:piRNA from 1 species